GCAGGAACGAAAGUUGGUCUUAGUGAUCCGGUGGUUCUGAAUGGAAGGGCCAUCGCUCAACGGAUAAAAGGUACUCCGGGGAUAACAGGCUGAUACCGCCCAAGAGUUCAUAUCGACGGCGGUGUUUGGCACCUCGAUGUCGGCUCAUCACAUCCUGGGGCUGAAGCAGGUCCCAAGGGUAUGGCUGUUCGCCAUUUAAAGUGGUACGCG
rnacentral:rRNA from 1 species